CAAGUAACACGUCAUUGUAUUGAUCUGUUUUUAGAUAGAAUGUCUCUCAAAACACAGACUUACCUUUCUUUUUUUAUUUGAAGAUUUGACCGAUAUGCUCACCCCUCCAGCUCACAUACCUAGAAUAAUCUUCUAGAACGUAAUUGAAAAAACGCAACUUGUGCAGAGUUCCACAAACCAUUAAGCUAAGAAUAGAAUCAAAGAUAGUUUUAAUUAAUAUUAAAGUGUACUUGCACAUAGAAUAUAUACAUACGAAGAUAACAUAAUUAAGCACUUAAUGGAUUACCAAAUAAUUGGAACUUGCUUAUAAC